rnacentral:tRNA from 1 species
GAGGGUAUAUCUCAGUGGUAGAGUGUGUGCUUAGCAUACACGAUGUCCUAGGUUUAAUCCCCAGCACCUCCA